rnacentral:rRNA from 1 species
GGUUAAGCGACUAAGCGUACACGGUGGAUGCCCUGGCAGUCAGAGGCGAUGAAGGACGUGCUAAUCUGCGAUAAGCGUCGGUAAGGUGAUAUGAACCGUUAUAACCGGCGAUUUCCGAAUGGGGAAACCCAGUGUGUUUCGACACACUAUCAUUAACUGAAUCCAUAGGUUAAUGAGGCGAACCGGGGGAACUGAAACAUCUAAGUACCCCGAGGAAAAGAAAUCAACCGAGAUUCCCCCAGUAGCGGCGAGCGAACGGGGAGCAGCCCAGAGCCUGAAUCNNNNNNNNNNNNNNNNNNNNNNNNNNNNNNNNNNNNNNNNNNNNNNNNNNNNNNNNNNNNNNNNNNNNNNNNNNNNNNNNNNNNNNNNNNNNNGGGCGGGACACGUGGUAUCCUGUCUGAAUAUGGGGGGACCAUCCUCCAAGGCUAAAUACUCCUGACUGACCGAUAGUGAACCAGUACCGUGAGGGAAAGGCGAAAAGAACCCCGGCGAGGGGAGUGAAAAAGAACCUGAAACCGUGUACGUACAAGCAGUGGGAGCACGCUUAGGCGUGUGACUGCGUACCUUUUGUAUAAUGGGUCAGCGACUUAUAUUCUGUAGCAAGGUUAACCGAAUAGGGGAGCCGAAGGGAAACCGAGUCUUAACUGGGCGUUAAGUUGCAGGGUAUAGACCCGAAACCCGGUGAUCUAGCCAUGGGCAGGUUGAAGGUUGGGUAACACUAACUGGAGGACCGAACCGACUAAUGUUGAAAAAUUAGCGGAUGACUUGUGGCUGGGGGUGAAAGGCCAAUCAAACCGGGAGAUAGCUGGUUCUCCCCGAAAGCUAUUUAGGUAGCGCCUCGUGAAUUCAUCUCCGGGGGUAGAGCACUGUUUCGGCAAGGGGGUCAUCCCGACUUACCAACCCGAUGCAAACUGCGAAUACCGGAGAAUGUUAUCACGGGAGACACACGGCGGGUGCUAACGUCCGUCGUGAAGAGGGAAACAACCCAGACCGCCAGCUAAGGUCCCAAAGUCAUGGUUAAGUGGGAAACGAUGUGGGAAGGCCCAGACAGCCAGGAUGUUGGCUUAGAAGCAGCCAUCAUUUAAAGAAAGCGUAAUAGCUCACUGGUCGAGUCGGCCUGCGCGGAAGAUGUAACGGGGCUAAACCAUNNNNNNNNNNNNNNNNNNNNNNNNNNNNNNNNNNNNGGUAGGGGAGCGUUCUGUAAGCCUGUGAAGGUGUGCUGUGAGGCAUGCUGGAGGUAUCAGAAGUGCGAAUGCUGACAUAAGUAACGAUAAAGCGGGUGAAAAGCCCGCUCGCCGGAAGACCAAGGGUUCCUGUCCAACGUUAAUCGGGGCAGGGUGAGUCGACCCCUAAGGCGAGGCCGAAAGGCGUAGUCGAUGGGAAACAGGUUAAUAUUCCUGUACUUGGUGUUACUGCGAAGGGGGGACGGAGAAGGCUAUGUUGGCCGGGCGACGGUUGUCCCGGUUUAAGCGUGUAGGCUGGUUUUCCAGGCAAAUCCGGAAAAUCAAGGCUGAGGCGUGAUGACGAGGCACUACGGUGCUGAAGCAACAAAUGCCCUGCUUCCAGGAAAAGCCUCUAAGCAUCAGGUAACAUCAAAUCGUACCCCAAACCGACACAGGUGGUCAGGUAGAGAAUACCAAGGCGCUUGAGAGAACUCGGGUGAAGGAACUAGGCAAAAUGGUGCCGUAACUUCGGGAGAAGGCACGCUGAUAUGUAGGUGAAGUCCCUCGCGGAUGGAGCUGAAAUCAGUCGAAGAUACCAGCUGGCUGCAACUGUUUAUUAAAAACACAGCACUGUGCAAACACGAAAGUGGACGUAUACGGUGUGACGCCUGCCCGGUGCCGGAAGGUUAAUUGAUGGGGUUAGCGGUAACGCGAAGCUCUUGAUCGAAGCCCCGGUAAACGGCGGCCGUAACUAUAACGGUCCUAAGGUAGCGAAAUUCCUUGUCGGGUAAGUUCCGACCUGCACGAAUGGCGUAAUGAUGGCCAGGCUGUCUCCACCCGAGACUCAGUGAAAUUGAACUCGCUGUGAAGAUGCAGUGUACCCGCGGCAAGACGGAAAGACCCCGUGAACCUUUACUAUAGCUUGACACUGAACAUUGAGCCUUGAUGUGUAGGAUAGGUGGGAGGCUUUGAAGUGUGGACGCCAGUCUGCAUGGAGCCGACCUUGAAAUACCACCCUUUAAUGUUUGAUGUUCUAACGUUGACCCGUAAUCGGGGUUGCGGACAGUGUCUGGUGGGUAGUUUGACUGGGGCGGUCUCCUCCUAAAGAGUAACGGAGGAGCACGAAGGUUGGCUAAUCCUGGUCGGACAUCAGGAGGUUAGUGCAAUGGCAUAAGCCAGCUUGACUGCGAGCGUGACGGCGCGAGCAGGUGCGAAAGCAGGUCAUAGUGAUCCGGUGGUUCUGAAUGGAAGGGCCAUCGCUCAACGGAUAAAAGGUACUCCGGGGAUAACAGGCUGAUACCGCCCAAGAGUUCAUAUCGACGGCGGUGUUUGGCACCUCGAUGUCGGCUCAUCACAUCCUGGGGCUGAAGUAGGUCCCAAGGGUAUGGCUGUUCGCCAUUUAAAGUGGUACGCGAGCUGGGUUUAGAACGUCGUGAGACAGUUCGGUCCCUAUCUGCCGUGGGCGCUGGAGAACUGAGGGGGGCUGCUCCUAGUACGAGAGGACCGGAGUGGACGCAUCACUGGUGUUCGGGUUGUCAUGCCAAUGGCACUGCCCGGUAGCUAAAUGCGGAAGAGAUAAGUGCUGAAAGCAUCUAAGCACGAAACUUGCCCCGAGAUGAGUUCUCCCUGACUCCUUGAGAGUCCUGAAGGAACGUUGAAGACGACGACGUUGAUAGGCCGGGUGUGUAAGCGCAGCGAUGCGUUGAGCUAACCGGUACUAAUGAACCGUGAGGCUUAACCUU